GAUGAACGCUGGCGGCGUGCCUAAUACAUGCAAGUAGAACGCUGAAGGAAGGAGCUUGCUCUUUCCGGAUGAGUUGCGAACGGGUGAGUAACGCGUAGGUAACCUGCCUGGUAGCGGGGGAUAACUAUUGGAAACGAUAGCUAAUACCGCAUAACAGUAGAUGUUGCAUGACAACUAUUUGAAAGGGGCAAUUGCUCCACUACCAGAUGGACCUGCGUUGUAUUAGCUAGUUGGUGAGGUAACGGCUCACCAAGGCGACGAUACAUAGCCGACCUGAGAGGGUGAUCGGCCACACUGGGACUGAGACACGGCCCAGACUCCUACGGGAGGCAGCAGUAGGGAAUCUUCGGCAAUGGACGGAAGUCUGACCGAGCAACGCCGCGUGAGUGAAGAAGGUUUUCGGAUCGUAAAGCUCUGUUGUAAGAGAAGAACGAGUGUGAGAGUGGAAAGUUCACACUGUGGCGGUAUCUUACCAGAAAGGGACGGCUAACUACGUG
rnacentral:rRNA from 1 species